rnacentral:rRNA from 1 species
GCAGUCGAACGAUGAAGCCUUUCGGGGUGGAUUAGUGGCGAACGGGUGAGUAACACGUGGGCAAUCUGCCCUUCACUCUGGGACAAGCCCUGGAAACGGGGUCUAAUACCGGAUAACACUCUGUCCUGCAUGGGACGGGGUUAAAAGCUCCGGCGGUGAAGGAUGAGCCCGCGGCCUAUCAGCUUGUUGGUGGGGUAAUGGCCUACCAAGGCGACGACGGGUAGCCGGCCUGAGAGGGCGACCGGCCACACUGGGACUGAGACACGGCCCAGACUCCUACGGGAGGCAGCAGUGGGGAAUAUUGCACAAUGGGCGAAAGCCUGAUGCAGCGACGCCGCGUGAGGGAUGACGGCCUUCGGGUUGUAAACCUCUUUCAGCAGGGAAGAAGCGAAAGUGACGGUACCUGCAGAAGAAGCGCCGGCUAACUACGUGCCAGCAGCCGCGGUAAUACGUAGGGCGCAAGCGUUGUCCGGAAUUAUUGGGCGUAAAGAGCUCGUAGGCGGCUUGUCACGUCGGAUGUGAAAGCCCGGGGCUUAACCCCGGGUCUGCAUUCGAUACGGGCUAGCUAGAGUGUGGUAGGGGAGAUCGGAAUUCCUGGUGUAGCGGUGAAAUGCGCAGAUAUCANGAGGAACACCGGUGGCGAAGGCGGAUCUCUGGGCCAUUACUGACGCUGAGGAGCGAAAGCGUGGGGAGCGAACAGGAUUAGAUACCCUGGUAGUCCACGCCCGUAACGUUGGGAACUAGGUGUUGG